UACGGAGAGUGCAAGCAUUAAUCGGAAUUAUUGGGCGUAAAGGGCGCGUAGGCGGGACGAUAAGUCAGAUGUGAAAUUCCGAAGCUCAACUUCGGAGCUGCAUUUGAAACUAUCGACCUCGAGGAUUGACGGAGAAAACGGAAUUCCACGUGUAGCGGUGAAAUGCGUAGAUAUGUGGAAGAACACCAGUGGCGAAAGCGGUUUUCUAGUUUAUACCUAACGCUGAGGCGCGAGAGCAAGGGGAGCAAACAGG
rnacentral:rRNA from 1 species